rnacentral:rRNA from 1 species
GAUGAACGCUGGCGGCGUGCCUAAUACAUGCAAGUCGAGCGAAUGGAUUGAGAGCUUGCUCUUAUGAAGUUAGCGGCGGACGGGUGAGUAACACGUGGGUAACCUGCCCAUAAGACUGGGAUAACUCCGGGAAACCGGGGCUAAUACCGGAUAACAUUUUGAACCGCAUGGUUCGAAAUUGAAAGGCGGCUUCGGCUGUCACUUAUGGAUGGACCCGCGUCGCAUUAGCUAGUUGGUGAGGUAACGGCUCACCAAGGCAACGAUGCGUAGCCGACCUGGGAGGGUGAUCGGCCACACUGGGACUGAGACACGGCCCAGACUCCUACGGGAGGCAGCAGUAGGGAAUCUUCCGCAAUGGACGAAAGUCUGACGGAGCAACGCCGCGUGAGUGAUGAAGGCUUUCGGGUCGUAAAACUCUGUUGUUAGGGAAGAACAAGUGCUAGUUGAAUAAGCUGGCACCUUGACGGUACCUAACCAGAAAGCCACGGCUAACUACGUGCCAGCCGCCGCUGUAA